rnacentral:rRNA from 1 species
UACGAAGGGGGCUAGCGUUGUUCGGAAUUACUGGGCGUAAAGCGCACGUAGGCGGUCUGUUAAGUCAGGGGUGAAAUCCCGGGGCUCAACCCCGGAACUGCCUUUGAUACUGGCAUUCUCGAGUCCGGAAGAGGUGAGUGGAAUUCCGAGUGUAGCGGUGAAAUUCGUAGAUAUUCGGAGGAACACCAGUGGCGAAGGCGGCUCACUGGUCCGGUACUGACGCUGAGGUACGAAAGCGUGGGGAGCAAACAGG